GCCGGCAGCUAGCUCUCUGCAACUCUCACAUGGUCGCCCACUGAAGCUAAGCAGGGCUGCGCCCGGUCAGUACCUGGAUGGGAGACAACAUGGGAAAGCUAGGUUGCUGCCGGAA
rnacentral:rRNA from 1 species